ACGUUGGUAGUGCAACGGUUUCAGCAUGCGCCUCUGGGCAAGGUAAAGUGUGGGUUCGAAUCCCAGCUGACGCA